rnacentral:misc_RNA from 1 species
GAUGAAGAACGUAGCGAAAUGCGAUAAGUAAUGUGAAUUGCAGAAUUCAGUGAAUCAUCGAAUCUUUGAACGCACAUUGCGCCCGCCAGUAUUCUGGCGGGCAUGCCUGUUCGAGCGUCAUUACAACCCUCAGGCCCCCGGGCCUGGCGUUGGGGAUCGGCGGAGCCCCCCGUGGGCACACGCCGUCCCCCAAAUGCAGUGGCGGUCCCGCCGCAGCUUCCAUCGCGUAGUAGCUAACACCUCGCGACUGGAGAGCGGCGCGGCCACGCCGUAAAACACCCAACUCGUCUGAAGUUGACCUCGAAUCAGGUAGGAAUACCCGCUGAACUUAAGCAUAUCAAUAAGCGGAGGA